AGUCCCGCAACGAGCGCAACCCUUGUUCACUGUUGCCAGCACGUUAUGGUGGGGACUCAGUGGAGACCGCCGGGGUCAACUCGGAGGAAGGUGGGGAUGACGUCAAGUCCUCAUGGCCCUUACGGGUAGGGCUACACACGUGCUACAAUGGCGGUGACAAUGGGCAGCGAAGGGGCGACCUGGAGCCAAUCCCCAAAAGCCGUCUCAGUUCGGAUCGUACUCUGCAACUCGAGUGCGUGAAGGUGGAAUCGCUAGUAAUCGUGGAUCAGCAUGCCACGGUGAAUACGUUCCCGGGCCU
rnacentral:rRNA from 12 species